GUUGCUAAAUUUAGCAGCGGGCGGCCCGGCGGUGUGAGAUAGCGGAUCCUUCAUUCAGUGCGGCGGGGCGGUUUCAGAUAUCUAUUAGAAAUUGCAAUUCCACAUAUCUCCACUGUAAUUCACACUGUCCCUGGGAUUCCCCUUUCUGUGACCUCCCCCGGCCCCUGCUGACAGUCUGCCAAGUGAGAGUAGGUCAGCUGGGUCAAGGCUGUGCCUCCUCACUUCAGUCAACUGAAAAUGACUCAGUGGUGGACGAAGUACACAGACCUUGUACCUUAGAUUCCCCUCGCUGUGACCUCCCCCGGCCCCUGCUGAUGGUCUGCCAAGUGAGAGUAGGUCAGCUGGUUCAAGGCUUUGACUCCACACUUCAGUUCACUGUAUUUAAGAUUAAAUGA
rnacentral:lncRNA from 1 species